GAGGACCAGGGGCUCGGGGAGACGACUCCUCUUACUAUCAUCUGCCAGCCCAUGCAGCCGCUGAGGGUCAACAGCCAGCCCGGCCCCCAGAAGCGAUGCCUUUUUGUGUGUCGGCAUGGUGAGAGGAUGGAUGUUGUGUUUGGGAAGUACUGGCUGUCCCAGUGCUUCGAUGCCAAAGGCCGCUACAUACGCACCAACCUGAACAUGCCUCAUAGUUUACCUCAGCGGAGUGGUGGUUUCCGAGAUUACGAGAAAGAUGCUCCCAUCACUGUGUUUGGAUGCAUGCAAGCAAGACUAGUGGGUAAGUAUCCUGGAGUGACUGCACUCCAGGCAUUUCUUGCCUCCUCCUUCAAAACACUGGUACCACGGAUAUGCAAGACACUUCCUGUGGGUUUCUAUAACUUUCCUACAAGUUUCCUCAAUUCAAAAGGAACUUACUACACAACCAUUAAGUUUAGGACACUGUGCUCAGCCCUGGGUUGGUUGACCAAAGUGAAUGAGGUGUGGUCCUUACUGAGGAGCACAUGAUCCA
rnacentral:sRNA from 1 species